UGAAAGCGUUGGAGAUGUCUAAAGACACC
rnacentral:sRNA from 1 species